CCUACGUGAGGCAGCAGUGGGGGAUAUUGCACAAUGGGGGGAACCCUGAUGCAGCGACGCCGCGUGGGUGAAGGAGUGCUUCGGCAUGUAAAGCCCUAUCGGCAGGGAAGAAGCAAGACGGUACCUGACUAAGAAGCCCCGGCUAACUACGUGCAGGCAGCCGCGGUAAUACGUAGGGGGCGAGCGUUAUCCGGAUUCACUGGGUGUAAAGGGAGCGUAGACGGCCAUGCAAGCCAGGGGUGAAAGCCCGGGGCUCAACCCCGGAACUGCCCUUGGAACUGUGCGGCUAGAGUGCAGGUGGGGCAGGCGGAAUGCCUGGUGUAGCGGUGAAAUGCGUAGAUAUCAGGAAGAACACCGACGGCGAAGGCAGCCUGCUGGACUGCGACUGACGUUGAGGCUCGAAAGCGUGGGGAGCGAACAGGAUUAGAUACCCUGGUAGUC
rnacentral:rRNA from 1 species